rnacentral:rRNA from 1 species
UACGAAGGGGGCUAGCGUUGCUCGGAAUCACUGGGCGUAAAGCGCACGUAGGCGGAUUGCUAAGUCAGGGGUGAAAUCCUGGAGCUCAACUCCAGAACUGCCUUUGAUACUGGCAACCUUGAGUCCGGGAGAGGUGAGUGGAACUGCGAGUGUAGAGGUGAAAUUCGUAGAUAUUGGGAAGAACACCAGUGGCGAAGGCGGCUACCUGGUCCGGAUCUGACGCUGAGGCGCGAAAGCGUGGGGAGCAAACAGG